GAGUUUGAUCAUGGCUCAGGACGAACGCUGGCGGCGUGCUUAACACAUGCAAGUCGAGCGGAAAGGCCCUUCGGGGUACUCGAGCGGCGAACGGGUGAGUAACACGUGAGUAACCUGCCCCAGACUUUGGGAUAACCCUCGGAAACGGGGGCUAAUACCGGAUACGACACCGUCUCGCAUGGGAUCGGUGUGGAAAGUUUUUCGGUUUGGGAUGGGCUCGCGGCCUAUCAGCUUGUUGGUGGGGUGAUGGCCUACCAAGGCGACGACGGGUAGCCGGCCUGAGAGGGCGACCGGCCACACUGGGACUGAGACACGGCCCAGACUCCUACGGGAGGCAGCAGUGGGGAAUAUUGCACAAUGGGCGGAAGCCUGAUGCAGCGACGCCGCGUGAGGGAUGACGGCC
rnacentral:rRNA from 1 species